rnacentral:rRNA from 1 species
UGGCGACCGGCGCACGGGUGAGUAACACGUAUCCAACCUGCCGAUGACUCGGGGAUAGCCUUUCGAAAGAAAGAUUAAUACCCGAUGGCAUAGUUCUUCCGCAUGGUAGAACUAUUAAAGAAUUUCGGUCAUCGAUGGGGAUGCGUUCCAUUAGCUUGUUGGCGGGGUAACGGCCCACCAAGGCAUCGAUGGAUAGGGGUUCUGAGAGGAAGGUCCCCCACAUUGGAACUGAGACACGGUCCAAACUCCUACGGAAGGCAGCAG